AGCGCACCGCCACGGAUAGGACACGUGCCAAGGACAACAGGUGUGAGGGAGCAGAUGUGGACCUCUGUCCCGCCCUGGCGGAGAAGGCUUUGGCUUUGCCCUGGGUGAUGCAGCCCAGCCAGCCCAUAGCCGCAGGGAGCCUCGAGGGCUCCUGACACCGGCGCCCGGGCCGCCCCGCCCGGAGCCCGGGCGGUUUCCGGGAAUGCGCCGCGGGCUCCGCGCCCCUCCUGGGCCUCGGCCAGGGUCGGGCUGGGGCGGAGCUGUGGCCUCGGGGCUCUGGGUUCCUGCCCGCACCACUGUGCUGCGGACCGCGGCGCCGCAGGGCAGCAGCGCCACCAACCCCUAGCCCCGGCGACGUACCGACGGCCCCGCGCUGCGCCUGAAGUGCCUGCCCCGCCGCUCCAGCAAGAGGUGCAGAGACCCUAGAGACUGAGCCCCAUCUGCGCCCCAGGACCGGAGAAAGCAGCCUCAUGGCGGAGCAGCUGGCCCUGGUGAUUGGGGGCAUUGUUGGAGGGCUGCUUCUACUGCUGUUGAUCGGGGUAAGUUGCUGUCUGUGGAGGAAGUUUUGUGCCACCUUCACCUAUGAGGAACUGCCAGAGACACCAGCCAUGGCCACCAGCGCUGCCUCCAGCAGACAGGGGGACAGGCUCUGCCAGCUGCAUACCAGGACCCAGCUGAGCAGGCCAUCAGGUGUGCCAUUCAUGGUACCCCCUUCCUUCCAAGGCCGAGACUGGGUGCCCCUGCAUAGCAAAGAGCUGUCCCAGGCCCCACAGGACCCCUGCCUGGCCCCAAAGCUCCUGCCUCAUAACGCCAGCAGCAAUCUUGGAGCUGCAUGUGUGAUGGGGACCAUCAACCCAGAGCUGUACAAGGUCCCAGAGGACACAAGUGAAACUGAUUUCCCUGAUGGCUGCCUGGGCCGGUUGUGGUUCUCUGUGGAAUACCAGCAGGAGGCUGAGCGGCUGCUGGUGGGCCUGAUCAAGGCACGGUUGCUGCAAGCGCCCUCUGAGACCUGCAGCCUCCUGGUGAAGCUCUGCCUGCUGCCUGAUGAGCGGCGCUUUCUCCAGUCUAAGACCAAACGCAAAACCUCCAGCCCGCAUUUUGACGAACACUUCAUCUUCCAGGUAUCCUGCAAGAGUGUUACCCAGAGGGUGCUGAAGUUCUCAGUGUACCAUGUGGACAGACAGAGGAAGCAUCAGCUCCUGGGCCAGGUGUUGUUCCCCCUGAAGAAUGAGAUCCUAGCAGGUGACUGCCACCAUAUCUUCUGGAGAGACCUAGAGGCUAAGAACCUGGAGCCCCCCUCGGAGUUUGGUGACCUCCAGUUCUGCCUCAGCUACAAUGACUACCUGAGCCGCCUGACUGUUGUCGUGCUUCGGGCCAAAGGCCUCCAGCUCCAAGAGGACAGAAGUGUUGUCAGUGUGUUCGUUAAAGUGUCCUUGAUGAACCAAAACAAGUUUGUCAAGUGCAAGAAGACUUCAGCUGUGCUGGGCUCUGUCAACCCUGUGUACAAUGAGACCUUCAGCUUCAAGGCAGAUGUCACCGAGCUGGACACCGCCAGCCUCAGCCUGACAGUGCUGCAGAACACUGAAGGGGACAGGAGCCACCUUCUGGGCCGCGUGGUGGUGGGCCCCUACAUGUACACACGUGGUAGAGAGCUGGAGCAUUGGGACGAGAUGCUCAGCAAGCCCAAGGAGCUGGUAAAGCGCUGGCACGCACUCUGUGGCCCCACUGAGCCCUGACCCAGCAUCUAGGACUGCAGUUCUGCUUUGGAAGCUCACUGUCCUCACAGUCUUAUGCAACAGCCACAAGCAAGGACAUUUCAUCCAACAUCUCACAGGGCCAUCCUGAGCCAGGAGUACCUGAGAGCUGAUAGGCAGGAGAAAAGAGGGGACAAGAAAGCUCUGCCCCCAGUCAGUGGCCAAUAGUGCAGCCUGCCCCUGCUCCCUGCAACUCACUCCACCCUACUUUACCUGUAGGGCUUCAUGGGCUUGGAAUCCAGGCUCCUGGUCAUCAUAAUCAUGAGGUGAUGUCAGGUGUCAGGUGUUCAGAAGAAAUAUUCUAUUUAGUGAUGGCAUAUCUGAAUGGAAGUGCAGGGUGGACUUGGGUUCCCACCAUCUUGAAAAGCUGAGAAUGUGUUGAUGCUAUACCUGCACUGCGUUUAAGAUGUGGUUUCUCUGCCUUCUGCCUAGACGAAAACACACUGCUCUGAGAGGCAUAACUGGGAGAAUGCUGUGAGCAGCCCACCCAGGUUCAAAAUGGUGGACAAGCUGUCAGAAAGGCAGCUAGGGGUCCUGAGACUGUAGGUACCAGCCACCCCCACAGUCCAAGGGUUUGAGCAAUUGGACAGGGAAAAGAAAUAAAAGGUGCCCACAAGAUAAGGAAGAAAUACAACAAUAUUUGCAGACAAUGUGUUCUUGUAUAUAGAAAAUCCUAAAGAAUGUGCAUGUAUGCACGUGCACAUGCACAUACAUACACUAUUAAAGCUAGUGAACAAGUUCAGCAGGUUGCAGGAUAGAAGAUCAAUAUACAAAAAGUAGAAUUUGUAGCAGAAUAGUGACACUGCAAGUAGUGAAGGUGAGCAUCCUUGUCUCAAUUUCAACCUCAGGGGGUAAAACUAUCAAAAUUCAUCAUUAAAUGGGUGGGGAUAUAGCUCAGUGGUAGAGCAUGUACCUAGCAUGUGCAGGGUCUGGGUUCAAUCCCCAGUACCAUGAAUGAAUUAAUUAAUUAAUAUUCAUCAUUAACCAUCAUGAUGGUUAUACAACUUUUAAUGUAGUCAUGAUCAUGUAGUCCCAACUUGUCUGAAAUUCUUUUUUAUCACAAGUAUUGUUAGAUUUUAUUAAAUACUUUUCUCUAUCUUUAAGAUAAUCAUAUUUUUCCUUUGUUCUUUUAAUGUGAGGAAUUAUAGUGAUUGAUUUUGGGAUCUCCAACCAAAUUUAAUAACAGAAACCAGCAAGGUGUGACAAUGUCACACACAAAAACAUGGCGUUUUUUAAACUGAAUUUAUUUUCAAUUAUAUUUUGAGGAAUUUUUAUAGUUAACAGUUAUGUUCAUGAGAGACUUAUCUAUAAUGUUUGUAUUGCAGUGGUCCUUGCACUUGCAUAUGUAUUCUAAAGCUAUUGUGUACAGGUGUACCAUGCAUUUCCAUUGGGUCAAAUUUGUUAAUCAUAUUGGUCAUAUCAUCUAUAUCCUUAUUGAUAUUUUUGUCCAUUUUGCUCACUAUUAUUGAGAGAGGUUAUAGCCCUUCAUUAUGAAUGUGGAUUUAUAUAUAUAUCUUUUUAGUUUCAUCAAUUUUUCUCUUAUGUAUUUUGAGACUGUGUCAUUGGGCUCAUGCCCAUUUAAAAUUGAUAUCUCUCUGGCAGAUCGAAACCUUUAUCAUUGUGAAAAACUCUACAAUUUGCAAUUAUAUCUUUUUUCCACUUCCUCCUAUUUUUUCAAAUUUGUUCUUAUAAAUUGUUAUGUUAUCUUAAAUACAGUUUUUAAAUCAAGUCUAUGAACCUCUACCUUUUGUGUACUUGGUGCAUUUACAUUUAAUGUAAUUGCUGAUAACUUUGUGUUCAUAUGUACCACCUUACUAUUUGUUUUAACUUGUACUACUUCUUUUAUGGUUUCUCUACCUCCUCCCCUCUCUUUCCUUUGUUACCUUAUUAUGGAUUAAUUCAGGUUUUUUAAAAAUUUUAUCUCCCCAUAUCUUUUAGUUGCUACUUACACAUUCUUUAAUUAUUCUUUUAGUGGUUGCCACAGAGAUUACAUUUUGUAUGUAUUAUCUGUUAUAGUCCAAUACACAUUUGACUUUUUAUCACUUGUUAGACAUGCUCUAAUCUCCACCUCUAUUUCCCUUUUUCUUGUGUGUAUGUUCAUUUAUCUGAUAGUAUUCAUUUUUAUAUUUUUACACCCAGUGAUAUUACUGUGUUCGACCACUAUUCAUUAAUAUUCAAGCACAUAUUUAUUCUUUCCAUUGCUUUUUAUUCUUUUCUGCAUUCCUGGAAUUCUAUCUUAGGUCAGUUUCCUUCCACCCUGAGAACCUCCUUUUAUAUUUCUUUCAGUGCAGAUAUGCUGGCAGCACAUUUUUUGUGAUUUUAAAUAGAAUUUUCUAUUGCAAAUUCUUUUUUUU